rnacentral:ribozyme from 11 species
UUUGCAUAUGUUUCCGCUUUGUCCUUUUUUUUUCUCUUGCUGGCUCCUCUUCGUUGUCUGUUCCUUUCGCUCAAAAACGGGGAGCAAGGAAAGACACGAAGUUCAUCAAUCAGGGAGGGACGAGAAAAAGAGCGGAUG